GGCAAAGACGUCCCAAUCCUGUCAGGUGCCCCAUGGUCACGGGACAGUAACAGACAGCAUGUCAGAAUCGCCACUCAGACAUCCCUCCUGCCCGGGAAGGAACCUGCACACUGGGGGUGCAGUGGCACCUCCGAUCUGAACACAAUGUGCUUCGAACCGAUAUCGAAUGAUAUGUCGGCAAGUGGAAAUGAAAAGCUUCACAAAACAAGAACUCAAAACUAGGUUAUUCAUUAGGAAAAACUGAAGCAGCCACACCGGUGAGCCAUACAACUCAGUCUGCUAAUAAUGCAAAAGAUACGUUUGCUCCAACGUAUGCAAAUUUUACACAUCAUGCUCCCUGUGCCAACAACUCUCCGACAUCACAGCCAAGCAAGACGAUGUCAACAACAAUUUCACAGGAUUCAUCAGCACCGACGACUCUGGAGGAUAUCCACAAGGCAAAUAUCGCAAACAUCAACACCAAGGCAAAUGAACUGUUGAAAAGGACUGAAAAUUCUACAUAUGUAUUGAUGGCUUCAUUACCUUCUGAGAGUACUUUGCAGCCCUUAUCGAAGAACAACAAACUAAUUGGAAUGAUUUUGCUUCCAACUCUGAUCCUUUUUCUGCUUGGUUUAAUUAUUGCCAUUCUUUUGAAUUGUUAUCAUGGUAGAAAAAGGAUAAAUGAUGAAGUUAAUUGUGAAAAUCCAGCAAGCCCUAUAUUCGAGGAAGAUGUAGCUUCUGUGAUGGAAGUUGAGAUGGAAGAAGUCAACAAAUGGAUGGGCAGCAUGAAAGAAAAAUCUCAUCAAGAAAAUUCAUUAGACACCAGCAAAGACAAAAAUUAAAAUGCAGGGAUUUUGAACAGCUCUUUUGGAAUUUAAGAUAAAUGGAGUUAUGUGGCAGAGAAACAAGCUGUCCAGCCCAACUGAUGGCGGUCAAGAUUGCGCCUGUGUACAAUGCUCCUUUGGUCGACAACUUCUGGAUAGAUCAUGAAACAAUAUAUUUCACUUCUUUUACGUCUUUUCCAUUUGCUUUUCAUCUUGAAUGUGAAUCUGGGGCUGUUGGAGACUGUAAUUCGCUGUCUGGAGAUCGUUUGGGUGUUCCAGCGCUCUACAGUCUCCAAGAGGAUUCCAGGAGGCAGAGGUGGCGAGCGCGGGCAGGCUGUGGUACGGGACAUGAGCCGAUGUCUGACUCUAUUUCGCUGAUUAAAGCUUCCAUUAUUCGCCGAUUAAAGUGAUGAGGGAGAUUGAAACAUAGAGGUGAAUGCAGAAGUUUGGAGAUGGUUUGGGUUCUUCAGCACUCUGCAGUCUCCAAGAGGAUUCAGGGAGACAGAGGCAGUGUGCAUUAACCUUGUUAUGGGCAGGCUGUGGGAUGGGGCGCGAGCCAACAUUUGACUCCAAUUUGACAAUUAAAGUUUCCAUUGUUCACCGAUUAAAGCGACAAGGGAGAUUGAAGUAUCGAGGUAAGUGCAGAGGGUGAACACCGACUACCUGUCUUUUGAUCACUAAGGAUCACUCUGCUAUGCCACUGGAGAGGGGAGAACCUGCUACUGUGUCCAAAGAACGUCACCCAGGUUUUCUGCGUUUUGGAUGUGGACUUGGACUAUAGACUUUUUUUGCAGUCAUAGUUUUUUUAUAUUGUGUUUUUUUGCCCGAUCUUUCUAGUUCCUUUUUGUUCAUGGGGAGGGGGAUUUUGGG